AGUCGAGCGGAAAGGCCACUUCGGUGGUACUCGAGCGGCGAACGGGUGAGUAACACGUGGGUAAUCUGCCUCUGGCUUCGGGAUAGCCACCGGAAACGGUGAUUAAUACCGGAUAUGACGCAUCACUGCAUGGUGUGUGUGUGGAAAGUUUUUUCGGCCAGGGAUGUGCUCGCGGCCUAUCAGCUUGUUGGUGGGGUAAUGGCCUACCAAGGCUUCGACGGGUAGCCGGCCUGAGAGGGUGACCGGCCACACUGGGACUGAGACACGGCCCAGACUCCUACGGGAGGCAGCAGUGGGGAAUAUUGGACAAUGGGCGGAAGCCUGAUCCAGCAACGCCGCGUGAGGGAUGACGGCCUUCGGGUUGUAAACCUCUUUCAGCACAGACGAAGCGCAAGUGACGGUAUGUGCAGAAGAAGGACCGGCCAACUACGUGCCAGCAGCCGCGGUAAUACGUAGGGUCCGAGCGUUGUCCGGAAUUAUUGGGCGUAAAGGGCUCGUAGGCGGUUUGUCGCGUCGGGAGUGAAAACACCGGGCUUAACUCGGUGCUUGCUUUCGAUACGGGCAGACUAGAGGCAUUCAGGGGAGAACGGAAUUCCUGGUGUAGCGGUGAAAUGCGCAGAUAUCAGGAGGAACACCGGUGGCGAAGGCGGUUCUCUGGGAAUGUCCUGACGCUGAGGAGCGAAAGUGUGGGGAGCGAACAGGAUUAGAUACCCUGGUAGUCCACACCGUAAACGUUGGGCGCUAGGUGUGGGAUCCAUUCCACGGGUUUCCGUGCCGCAGCUAACGCAUUAAGCGCCCCGCCUGGGG
rnacentral:rRNA from 1 species